AGUUUGUUGGUGAGGUAAUGGCUCACCAAGACGACGACGGGUAGCCGGCCUGAGAGGGCGACCGGCCACACUGGGACUGAGACACGGCCCAGACUCCUACGGGAGGCAGCAGUGGGGAAUAUUGCACAAUGGGGGAAACCCUGAUGCAGCGACGCAGCGUGCGGGAUGACGGCCUUCGGGUUGUAAACCGCUUUCAGCAGGGAAGAAGCCUUUAUCGGUGACGGUACCUGCAGAAGAAGUACCGGCUAACUACGUGCCAGCAGCCGCGGUAAUACGUAGGGUACAAGCGUUGUCCGGAAUUAUUGGGCGUAAAGAGCUCGUAGGUGGUUGGUCACGUCUGCUGUGGAAACGCAACGCUUAACGUUGCGCGUGCAGUGGGUACGGGCUGACUAGAGUGCAGUAGGGGAGUCUGGAAUUCCUGGUGUAGCGGUGAAAUGCGCAGAUAUCAGGAGGAACACCGGUGGCGAAGGCGGGACUCUGGGCUGUAACUGACACUGAGGAGCGAAAGCAUGGGGAGCGAACAGGAUUAGAUACCCUGGUAGUCCAUGCCGUAAACGUUGGGCACUAGGUGUGGGGGACAUUCCACGUUCUCCGCGCCGUAGCUAACGCAUUAAGUGCCCCGCCUGGGGAGUACGGUCGCAAGGCUAAAACUCAAAGGAAUUGACGGGGGCCCGCACAAGCGGCGGAGCAUGCGGAUUAAUUCGAUGCAACGCGAAGAGCCUUACCAAGGCUUGACAUACACCAGACCGUUCUGGAAACAGUUCCUCCCCUUUGGGGUUGGUGUACAGGUGGUGCAUGGUUGUCGUCAGCUCGUGUCGUGAGAUGUUGGGUUAAGUCCCGCAACGAGCGCAACCCUCGUUCUAUGUUGCCAGCACGUGAUGGUGGGAACUCAUAGGAGACUGCCGGGGUCAACUCGGAGGAAGGUGGGGAUGACGUCAAAUCAUCAUGCCCUUUAUGUCUUGGGCUUCACGCAUGCUACAAUGGCUGGUACAGAGAGAUGCGAGACCGCGAGGUUUUAGCGAAUCCCUUAAAGCCAGUCUCAGUUCGGAUCGUAGUCUGCAAUUCGACUACGGAAGUCGGAGUCGCUAGAAUCGCAGAUC
rnacentral:rRNA from 1 species